CAAAGUGUAGCUUAAACAAAGCCCCCGGCUUACACCCGGAAGAUUUCAAUUAUACUGACCACUUUGA
rnacentral:tRNA from 1 species